GUGCUCGCUUUGGCAGCACAUAUACUAAAAUUGGAACAAUACAGAGAAGAUUAGCAUGGCCGCUGCGCAAGGAUGACAUGCAAAUUCAUGAAGCGUUCCAUUUUUUU
rnacentral:snRNA from 1 species